rnacentral:rRNA from 1 species
CCUACGGGAGGCAGCAGUGAGGAAUAUUGGUCAAUGGGCGGGAGCCUGAACCAGCCAAGUCGCGUGAGGGAAGACGGUCCUAUGGAUUGUAAACCUCUUUAGGCGGGGAGCAAUGCCGGGCACGUGUGCCCGGAGGGAGAGUACCCGCAGAAUAAGCAUCGGCUAACUCCGUGCCAGCAGCCGCGGUAAUACGGAGGAUGCGAGCGUUAUCCGGAUUGAUUGGGUUUAAGGGGUGCGUAGGCGGAUUUUUAAGUCAGCGGUAAAAUGUCCGGGCUCAACCCGGGCCGGCCGUUGAAACUGGGGAUCUUGAGUGGGCGAGAAGUAUGCGGAAUGCGUGGGGUAGCGGUGAAAUGCAUAGAUAUCACGCAGAACUCCGAUUGCGAAGGCAGCAUACCGGCGCCCGACUGACGCUGAGGCACGAAAGCGUGGGGAUCGAACAGGAUUAGAUACCCGAGUAGUC